rnacentral:rRNA from 1 species
GAUGAACGCUGGCGGCGUGCCUAAUACAUGCAAGUCGAACGAAACUACGAGAACCCUGCUUGUUUGCACUCACCGGCAGACGGUUGAGUAGCAAGCGGGUAAGCAACAUAUAAGCAACGGACCACUUCGGGGAACAUGACACAAUGACGCAUAAUCUAAUACCCCGCAAGCAUAAAUACUGAAAGAUGACUUUGUAAUAACUUAUUAAACUAUCGCUUUCGCAUUAGCCCGCUGCGCAUUAGCUAGUUGGUAGGGUAAAGGCUUACCAAGGCAAUGAUGCGUAGCCGAACUGAGAGGUUGAUCGGCCACACUGGAACUGAGACACGGUCCAAACUCCUACGGGAGGCAGCAGUAGGGAAUCUUCCACAAUGGGCGAAAGCCUGACGGAGCAACGCCGCGUGAGUGAUGAAGGUCUUCGGAUCGUAAAACUCUGUUAUUAGAGAAGAACGAACGUGUAAGUAACUAUGCACGUCUUGACGGUACCUAAUCAGAAAGCCACGGCUAACUACGUG